UAACACUAACUGGAGGACCGAACCGACUAAUGUUGAAAAAUUAGCGGAUGACUUGUGGCUGGGGGUGAAAGGCCAAUCAAACCGGGAGAUAGCUGGUUCUCCCCGAAAGCUAUUUAGGUAGCGCCUCGUGAAUUCAUCUCCGGGGGUAGAGCACUGUUUCGGCAAGGGGGUCAUCCCGACUUACCAACCCGAUGCAAACUGCGAAUACCGGAGAAUGUUAUCACGGGAGACACACGGCGGGUGCUAACGUCCGUCGUGAAGAGGGAAACAACCCAGACCGCCAGCUAAGGUCCCAAAGUCAUGGUUAAGUGGGAAACGAUGUGGGAAGGCCCAGACAGCCAGGAUGUUGGCUUAGAAGCAGCCAUCAUUUAAAGAAAGCGUAAUAGCUCACUGGUCGAGUCGGCCUGCGCGGAAGAUGUAACGGGGCUAAACCAUGCACCGAAGCUGCGGCAGCGACGCUUAUGCGUUGUUGGGUAGGGGAGCGUUCUGUAAGCCUGUGAAGGUGGCCUGUGAGGGUUGCUGGAGGUAUCAGAAGUGCGAAUGCUGACAUAAGUAACGAUAAAGCGGGUGAAAAGCCCGCUCGCCGGAAGACCAAGGGUUCCUGUCCAACGUUAAUCGGGGCAGGGUGAGUCGACCCCUAAGGCGAGGCCGAAAGGCGUAGUCGAUGGGAAACAGGUUAAUAUUCCUGUACUUGGUGUUACUGCGAAGGGGGGACGGAGAAGGCUAUGUUGGCCGGGCGACGGUUGUCCCGGUUUAAGCGUGUAGGCUGGUUUUCCAGGCAAAUCCGGAAAAUCAAGGCUGAGGCGUGAUGACGAGGCACUACGGUGCUGAAGCGACAAAUGCCCUGCUUCCAGGAAAAGCCUCUAAGCAUCAGGUAACAUUAAAUCGUACCCCAAACCGACACAGGUGGUCAGGUAGAGAAUACCAAGGCGCUUGAGAGAACUCGGGUGAAGGAACUAGGCAAAAUGGUGCCGUAACUUCGGGAGAAGGCACGCUGAUAUGUAGGUGAAGCGACUUGCUCGUGGAGCUGAAAUCAGUCGAAGAUACCAGCUGGCUGCAACUGUUUAUUAAAAACACAGCACUGUGCAAACACGAAAGUGGACGUAUACGGUGUGACGCCUGCCCGGUGCCGGAAGGUUAAUUGAUGGGGUUAGCGGUAACGCGAAGCUCUUGAUCGAAGCCCCGGUAAACGGCGGCCGUAACUAUAACGGUCCUAAGGUAGCGAAAUUCCUUGUCGGGUAAGUUCCGACCUGCACGAAUGGCGUAAUGAUGGCCAGGCUGUCUCCACCCGAGACUCAGUGAAAUUGAACUCGCUGUGAAGAUGCAGUGUACCCGCGGCAAGACGGAAAGACCCCGUGAACCUUUACUAUAGCUUGACACUGAACAUUGAGCCUUGAUGUGUAGGAUAGGUGGGAGGCUUUGAAGUGUGGACGCCAGUCUGCAUGGAGCCGACCUUGAAAUACCACCCUUUAAUGUUUGAUGUUCUAACGUGGGCCCCUUACCGGGGUUGCGGACAGUGUCUGGUGGGUAGUUUGACUGGGGCGGUCUCCUCCUAAAGAGUAACGGAGGAGCACGAAGGUUGGCUAAUCCUGGUCGGACAUCAGGAGGUUAGUGCAAUGGCAUAAGCCAGCUUGACUGCGAGCGUGACGGCGCGAGCAGGUGCGAAAGCAGGUCAUAGUGAUCCGGUGGUUCUGAAUGGAAGGGCCAUCGCUCAACGGAUAAAAGGUACUCCGGGGAUAACAGGCUGAUACCGCCCAAGAGUUCAUAUCGACGGCGGUGUUUGGCACCUCGAUGUCGGCUCAUC
rnacentral:rRNA from 1 species